rnacentral:ncRNA from 2 species
AGCUUAUACGGCGAUGGAGUUCGCCUUUAACCGCCUUUUUGCUAAUGACUCCUACCAGUUU